CAGAGUUGAUCCUGGCUCAGGACGAACGCUGGCGGCGUGCCUAACACAUGCAAGUCGAGCGGAGACAGUGAGUAGCUUGCUAUGAGCUGUUUUUAGCGGCGGACGGGUGAGUAACGCGUGAGCAACCUUUCCCAGACAGGGGAAUAACACACCGAAAGGUGUACUAAUACCGCAUAAGACCACGGAAUCACAUGGUUCUGAGGUAAAAGAUUUAUCGGUUUGGGGUGGGCUCGCGUCCGAUUAGGUAGUUGGUGAGGUAACCGG
rnacentral:rRNA from 1 species